UCUCCGUAGGUGAACCUGCGGAGGGAUCAUUCACAUGAUUUACUUUAUAAACAAACUGUGAACUUUAUUAUCAUACUAUUCUUGUAGGGAUUAUUUUAUAAUCUUUUACAACGUCAUUCGAUGAACAUUAGAUAGUUGGCUUGUUUUUUUUAAAUAAAAAACUUUCUUAGCUGAUUUGUUUGUUAGACUAAACAUCUAUUCAAUCAAUCAACCAAAAACAUAGAAACAACUCUAUGCCCUGGAUAUCUUGGUUCUC
rnacentral:misc_RNA from 1 species